CUUGUUAUUAAUUUAUCAUAGGUACGAAAUAAGCAUAAUAACAGGCUGAAAGUAAAGAACCUAAAUAGGAUCUCUAAUAUAUGAGAUGCAUGUCCUACAUAGGAUAUCUGCUGCGCAAAUAAAUAAAAAAAAUCCUAUAAACAUAUUUUCUACCCAUUACUUAAACUAAGCAUGUAUAACCCCCACCCAAUUUCACUAUAACCCCAAUCAUUCGUUUAUAAGUUUUUACAACCAAUGAUAGCUGAAUUACAAUAGUAAAGAACAAAAAUACGAAGUUAUUCUAUAGGGAGAGUUCAUUCAGGCCCAAUCUUCCAACCUCACUCCUUUUGAGUUUCACAGCCUUGACAUGGUCAGGGUGCGGCAAAGCUCCCUACGGCCUUCAUUGGGUCCCUGGCCAAUACCAGCACCCAUGCAAUUUCCAAAUGUUGAACAAGUGCAGUAUUGAAUUACCAGCCUUACGCGUCAAAGUUCAGUGAGUACUCAGAGGUGCCCAAAGCAAUGCUUACACGAAGGGGGUAGAACGUAAUCUCUACGAGUAGUGUGAAGUGCAAGAAGGAGAGGAAAGUUGGUAGUUCAAAGAGUUUAUAAAAGAGUUAGUUGGAUAGUUGCACACAUGGGUAAUGGGUAAAGGGGAAACAUAUGCGAACUCACAAAACCAAAAGCUUUAAGAGACCGUGACAUAGUCGACUUUAGACACAAAGUAAGUAGCAAUAGAAUUCAGUUAUAAUAGGUGAACAAUAAUCAUGAGCAUGCAAGUUCCAACAGGAAAACCAGGAAUCAAUCACAUCUUGCACAGCAGAAACAUAAGUAGAAAACGAUUAGGAAUAGCACAGACUGAAGUAGUAAUAAACACAUUGGUUUGGAGCAUGGAAUUCAAUCAGGACAUACUAGCAACAAAGAGAGCACAUUAGAAUGUAGUUUCCAGAUAUAAGCACGAUAUUAGCCUUAGCCUUUCAGCUGGCUAAUGACAGUCAGAAGCAGGGAGUAGCAACAACAUAAGAGAGAAAAGGAGAGAAAUAGCACAAGAAUGAGCAAUGUGAUUACUCUGUGUGUGAGUAUGUGUUUGUGAUAUGCAAUGUGUUCGUCUCAUGCAAAAGAGAG
rnacentral:lncRNA from 1 species